CUGAGUCAAAUGCUGUCUACCCAGCUGCAGGGUCACAGUCUGCGCCAUUUGUGGAUGUCCGUUUCACAGCGAUCCACAGGAAAAACAUGCACAACUUAAGAGCAGCGCGUUUCGGUUUUAUCGAGGGACCUUACUGAGGACUCAAGCCCAGGAGACGACAGCUCUGAGGAACUGCUCCGAAGAGGUUGUCCGGCCCCCAGAAGCAGAAAGUAUUGACUGAUUCUUUCCUGAUGUUUAAAGAGAAGAAAUUGAAAUAGCUCUUGGAACCACCCUGGUGCUGCUUUGGCAAAUACAAGUGAAAUGCAGUUGAAGAACUCCUAGAAGAUGUGUAUGAGAUAAUAUAACCGUUCUCUCCACCACCGGUAUCAUCACUGACUGAAGGCUUACUGUGUGCCGGAAUAUAUUAAGGUUUUCUUUGGACAAAAAGUUCUGUGAUCGCACUAGUACUGGAGCACACAUCAGAAGCGGACACAAAGAAGAAGGAGGGUGAGAAUUUCAGAUGGACGGAACAGCAAGACAACAGGCACGGGGGAAUAAAAUCCCAUGGUAUGCUAGUGGAAAAACUGGGUUUAAAAUCUUUCUCUUGAAGAGGGCAUUUUCUGCCUUGCUGUUUGAGCUGAAAUGGAAGUAUGUUCUACAAGAAUUGUGAACCUGCCAUUUGCAUACUUAUGUUUCUUUCUAGGAAUGUGACUGUUACGCAACACAGAUUUUUCCCAUAUUUAUCUCUCAUUUUCCGUUUUCAUUUGAUCAGACAGUUUUUUGUCUGGCAAAGUAUUAUAUUCACAUCACAGAGAAAGAAAGGGAAAUUAAAAACCAAUUCACACUUUCCAUUAUCUGCCUUCUGACCAGUUAACACUGAAUUAAAGCGGACAAUGGGCUUCAAGUUUGCCCUUGUACUUUCCAAGAAACCAAUGUUUAAAGAGAAAAUAACCAAAAUUAGAAAGACAUUAUUUCUGUCCUAACUAUUCAGGGGGAAAAGGACAGAAUAUGCUGUAAUAAUAAUGAAAAUCUUAACUAACUUGCAUUGCUUUAGAACAAUAGAUUGACAUGAUUGCUUUGGGGGGCUGAUAAAGUCAAUCUCUGAUAGGAAUAGUCCCCUUAGGUUUUUUUUAACAGAAAGUUUCUAAAUUUAAAACAAAGAAGCAAGACUAUCACUGUGCAAAAAUAUAUGAAAAAUAAUACAGCCAUCAGCCAAGCAAUUCCAGCAAACACUGAAAAGGCCCUGUCUUCCUUACCACGUAAGUAGACUUGAUUUCCACAACUUGUUAAUCCCCUAACAUUUUUUUUUUUGCUUUUACUGGAGUAUAGUUGCUUUACAAUGUCGUUUUAGCAGAAACUAACACAAAGUGAAUCAGCUAUACGUAUACACAUAUCCCCUCUUUUUUGGAUUUCCUUCCCAUUUAGGUCACCACAGAGCAUUGAGCGGGGUUCCUUGUGCUAUACAGUAGGUUCUCAUGAGUUAUCUAUUUUAUACAUAGUAGAGUAUAUAUGUCAAUCCCACUCUCCCAAUCCAUUCCACCCCCCACUUCCCAAAUAUCGUAUAUUAACACACAUAUGUGGAAUCUAGAAAAACUGUGUAGGUGAACUUACUUGCAAAGCAAAAGUAGAGACUUAGACGUAGGGAACAAAUGUAGGAAUCCCCAACACUUUUGUCCUGAGCUCUUUAGGAUCAUCAAAGACCUGAAACCACUGAUUCUGCAUGUCAGUGCUGAGAGUACACAGACUGUGCAAUACACAGUGGUGUGAAGAGUUGGGGAAGGGCCACUGCAGGAGCCAUUCAAGGGAAAGCUGAUGCAGGGAGAGGGCGGAUCCAGCUCCCUCCUCUGACCUCCUGCCACACCUGCGUUUUUCUGGAGCUGCUUCAGAGCUGCCACUUCCAGAAUUUCAGCUUGGUGAACAUGCCCUCCCCAUUCAGCCAGCCCUGGCUCUAAGACUUGCUCACGCGCCUGUGUGUUACCCCAGCAGGGACCGGAUACUCUUACGGGCCUCCGUGCUGCUGGAGCUCUUGUUCAUCUGAAGAUCAUUAUCACUGCUUAGCAGACUGCCUGCACGUUCUCCUUGCUGCUCAGAAAAUGAAAAACAGUUAUUUAGGCUAUGAAUGUCCUGGCCGAACAAGCCGUGAUACUUCAGCAUUCAGCAUGAGAGAAAGGAAGUCUGGGUUCUAUUUUUAAGUGAUUCAUCUUAAAAUAAAAUGAGACUGAGCUUUGCAAUGGAAUCUCUUUGCAUGAUCACAUCAGUAGGGCCAAAUCAGCAGCUUCGGAUUUCCAUGCCAGGUGAUCAGUGUGGAAUGCAAUACGUUUUAUAAAAUUCGCUUUGGGGGGCUGUGUUGCCUUGCAAAUAAACCUUACAUUUGAAAUUUUUGAGCCUGGUAGCUCACCUAGGCCAUUUGCAGGACUUGGAAGUUCUCCAGGUCUUGGAAGAAUGAAGAGCCCACAUAGGCUUUGAGUAUCUCUGGUUAUAAACCUCUUUGGGAUUCGAGCCCGGCAAGUUCUACCCCUGCCUGAAGCAAUGAAUAAGAGUUUAUGAGAAUAAGGAAUUUAAGAGCUUUCUGGGGUCUGGCCCGUUCCUCCACGCCCGAUGCCUGCGUUUUGCCAGCCAACCCGAGCGUCUUCUCCUUGGCGCUGGCAAUGACGCUGAGGGACUUCUGCA